UACGUAGGGGGCAAGCGUUGUCCGGAAUCAUUGGGCGUAAAGAGCGCGUAGGCGGCCCUGUAAGUCCGCUGUGAAAGUCAAGGGCUCAACCCUUGGAUGCCGGUGGAUACUGCAGGGCUAGAGUCCGGAAGAGGCGAGUGGAAUUCCUGGUGUAGCGGUGGAAUGCGCAGAUAUCAGGAGGAACACCAAUUGCGAAGGCAGCUCGCUGGGACGGUACUGACGCUGAGGAGCGAAAGCAUGGGGAGCGAACAGG
rnacentral:rRNA from 1 species